CAGGGUAUAGGAGAAUUUGGUUAAUCCGCUGCAUUUGGGAUGCAGAGAUUGUUGGUUCAAAUCCAGCUACCCUGA
rnacentral:tRNA from 1 species